AUGGGCCUCAAGGGACAUGAGAUAGCCCUCAGGGGCCUGGCGCUCCCGGUCCCCCUGGUCCUCUCCUGGGGACUUACCUGGUGUCCCCGGCAUGGAGUAGACCAGGGACUUUCUCCGCUGCCAUCGGUAGAUCCAGGUGCACAGAAUCACGGUGACCACAUAGAACACGUAAAAGCCCAGGUAACCUGCGCGCAGGGGGGCAUCAGCAAGUGUCGUUCUGGCCACAGGGGCCACCAGCCAGGGCUGGCAGCUCCAGAUGGAGCCCGUCCUCCGUCCUCGCCUGGUGCCAGCUCCCGGGCUGCAGGUCCCUGCUGGUCCCCUGACGUGCCCUCCUGGAGCCAUCGGGAGGGAGUGUGGCUGCCGGGAUGUGGCUGUGCCCCUGGUCAGGAGUGGGGACCGUGGAUGCUCUGGAUGGCCCCUCCUGCCCCUUUGGUCACUGGGGCCAUUUAGUCCCUGUUGGCUCCGUCCCUGGAAUCAAGUCGACCCUCCACUCCACCGGCCACCUCUUGCGUCUCUGAGCUCCUGGCCACCCCAGGGAUGGCUCCUGUCCCCUGAGCCUGCUCACCCAGGGCCCACGCCAGCGUGACCCUGCCGAGGUAGAGCGCGGUGAAGGUCAGGAACACGGCAGCCAUGUAGAAGGCGAUGUCCCUGAGGAAGGGCCUGGAGGCGGCCAGGAAGGGGUGCAGGAUGGCGAUGCCUCCGGCCACCACGGUGGUCACCAGCACACCUGCGCCUGGAGGACAGCGGCCAGGCUCAGCCAGGGACGCCCACUGCCAGCCCCCCGCCCGGGGCCAUACUCACCGAACAGAGCGCCGAUGGCCAGGCCAGCCGUGCGCGGGUCCGAGAAAGCCACCAGGGCGCUGAAGAUGUCUGGGGCACCAUUCCCAAAGGCCAGGAAGGUGACACCAUGGGAACGGGUCAAGGGUCCACCAGGGCCUCUCUGCCGCGAGCCACCCCAGGCCUCCUCCCCACCUUCCCGCCCUCCAGGGGAGGCCCAGCAGUCAAGGAUACUGCCACGUUGUGGGACAGCUUGAGGACGCUGGAGAUGGCCCACAGGUUGGGGCAGAAACUGGGGAGCAGACAGGGCACCUCGCCACCUGGCCACCUUGCCACCAGGCCCGGCC
rnacentral:lncRNA from 1 species